GUUUGAUCAUGGCUCAGAACGAACGCUGGCGGCGUGCCUAACACAUGCAAGUCGAACGGGAAAGCCCGCAAGGGUGAGUACAGUGGCGCACGGGUGCGUAACACGUGGGUAAUCUGCCCAGAAGCCCGGAAUAACUCCCCGAAAGGGGUGCUAAUGCCGGAUGAGACCACGGGGACUUCGGUUCCUGGGGGAAAAGGUGGCCUCUGUAUACAAGCUAUCACUUCUGGAUGAGCCCGCGGCCCAUCAGCUAGUUGGCGGGGUAAUGGCCCACCAAGGCUACGACGGGUAGCUGGUCUGAGAGGACGAUCAGCCACACUGGAACUGAGACACGGUCCAGACUCCUACGGGAGGCAGCAGUGGGGAAUCUUGCGCAAUGGGCGAAAGCCUGACGCAGCAACGCCGCGUGUGUGAUGAAGGUCUUCGGAUCGUAAAGCACUGUCGGGAGGGACGAAUAAGGGCCGGGUGAACAAUCCGGUUCGACGACGGUACCUCCAAAGGAAGCACCGGCUAACUCUGUGCCAGCAGCCGCGGUAAUACAGAGGGUGCUAGCGUUGUUCGGAAUUAUUGGGCGUAAAGCGCGUGUAGGCGGCCGGCCAAGUCGGAUGUGAAAGCCCUCGGCUUAACCGAGGAAGUGCGUUCGAUACUAGCUGGCUUGAGUACCGGAGAGGGUGGUGGAAUUCCCGGUGUAGAGGUGAAAUUCGUAGAUAUCGGGAGGAACACCAGCGGCGAAGGCGACCACCUGGACGGAUACUGACGCUGAGACGCGAAAGCGUGGGGAGCAAACAGGAUUAGAUACCCUGGUAGUCCACGCCGUAAACGAUGAGCGCUAGGUGUUGCGGGUGUUGACCCCUGCAGUGCCGAAGCUAACGCAUUAAGCGCU
rnacentral:rRNA from 1 species